ACCAUACCGAUAAUACAAAAUCAUCGGAUUAAUAAGUUGUUUGAACAGUAAUUCCAGAUAGUAUAUACCACAAAACAAUUCCCCGGUUCGAUAAAUAUGUCAAUACAAACUUCCUUUUAUUGGAGGGGAAAUUAGAAUCAACUCAUAGACCUUAUUUGGAAUGAUAAUCUCACCAAGAAGACGCCUUAGAUACAGUACUCGAAUAGGAUACAACAAAUAAAUUAACAAGACCACGACCAUGACCACGACCACAAACUCCUUGUGUCCAAGGAAAUAACGAGAUGAGUCUAGUUCCUGUCGUCUGAACAAUGGAAUGAAACCAUUCGAAAAGACUUAAGCCUGCAAAAAGCUAGCAUACUUGGCACCGAGGAAAAGCCUUUGGAUACAGAGCAAAGCGUUUUUCGUGACCUCAGCAUUAUCGUGGUUCAACAGUCUCAUUACGCGCUCCUUAGCUUUGAGGUCAUUCACUAUAAUUCGCCCAGCAGAAUGGCACUGAAUGAACUGUGAUAGAUCAUAGCAAGCAACAGCAAGUGUCCUUGCAUCACUUGAUGUGUCAAGAAUUGUAAUGAGCACCCUCAAGAUCUGGAAAUCAUUCUCCUCAAAAUUAUUUAUGUUCUCCCGCCAGAAUAUAGG
rnacentral:misc_RNA from 1 species